AUGAGCGGCGGCCUUCCGGGUUUCCACAAUGCGCCGGUGUCGAGGGCCGUGGUCGUCGCCGCCGCGCUCUUCUCCGUCCCCUUCGGCCUCCGCUCUCGCUUCCUCGACCUCGGCCUGUCCCACCAGAAUCUGUACGAAAAUCUGCGGAUAUGGAGGGUGAUUGCCUCGUUGUUUGCCUUCUCGUCGUCGCCUGAGCUUAUCUUCGGAGUGGCCUUGCUGUACUAUUUCAGGGUGUUCGAGCGUCAGAUAGGUUCAAACAAGUAUGCUGUCUUCAUAGUCUUCUCCAUGACGGUGUCUGUACUGCUUCAGAUCCUAGCUUUAGGUUAUCUGAAAGAUCCAUCUUUCAAUCCAUUAACAUCUGGACCAUAUGGCCUCAUAUUUGCAUCUUAUGUACCCUUCUUCUUUGACAUUCCCAUCUCAACAAAGUUUCGCAUAUUUGGACUGCAAUUAUGUGACAAGUCAUUCGUAUAUUUGGCAGGGCUCCAGCUUCUUUUCUCAUCUGGAAGACGUUCUGUUAUACCUGGACUGUCUGGUAUAUUGGCUGGGCUUUUGUACCGUCUGAAUAUAUUUGGUAUCCGCAGGCUAAAGGUUGCAGGGUAUGCAACUUCACUGUUUUCACGGUUAUCAUGGCCCUUCUCUAACAACUCUUAUCAAAGAUUGCCAAUUGCAACAACUGAUGACAACAUUCCUCAUCGCCAGACUCAUCAAAUGCAGGGCGCGCACACAACUACCCCAGAUCCAACGGAGUCGUCAAUUGCCACGCUUGUUUCCAUGGGUUUUGAUCGUGCUUCUGCAAUUCAGGCUCUCGCACUGACAAAUAAUGAUGUAAAUUUAGCCUCGAACAUCCUGCUUGAAGCACAAUCCACGUAG
rnacentral:rRNA from 1 species